GAGCUUGAUCAUGGCUCAGAUUGAACGCUGGCGGCAGGCCUAACACAUGCAAGUCGAACGGUAACAGGAAGAAGCUUGCUUCUUUGCUGACGAGUGGCGGACGGGUGAGUAAUGUCUGGGAAACUGCCUGAUGGAGGGGGAUAACUACUGGAAACGGUAGCUAAUACCGCAUAACGUCGCAAGACCAAAGAGGGGGACCUUCGGGCCUCUUGCCAUCGGAUGUGCCCAGAUGGGAUUAGCUAGUAGGUGGGGUAGCGGCUCACCUAGGCGACGAUCCCUAGCUGGUCUGAGAGGAUGACCAGCCACACUGGAACUGAGACACGGUCCAGACUCCUACGGGAGGCAGCAGUGGGGAAUAUUGCACAAUGGGCGCAAGCCUGAUGCAGCCAUGCCGCGUGUAUGAAGAAGGCCUUCGGGUUGUAAAGUACUUUCAGCGGGGAGGAAGGGAGUAAAGUUAAUACCUUUGCUCAUUGACGUUACCCGCAGAAGAAGCACCGGCUAACUCCGUGCCAGCAGCCGCGGUAAUACGGAGGGUGCAAGCGUUAAUCGGAAUUACUGGGCGUAAAGCGCACGCAGGCGGUUUGUUAAGUCAGAUGUGAAAUCCCCGGGCUCAACCUGGGAACUGCAUCUGAUACUGGCAAGCUUGAGUCUCGUAGAGGGGGGUAGAAUUCCAGGUGUAGCGGUGAAAUGCGUAGAGAUCUGGAGGAAUACCGGUGGCGAAGGCGGCCCCCUGGACGAAGACUGACGCUCAGGUGCGAAAGCGUGGGGAGCAAACAGGAUUAGAUACCCUGGUAGUCCACGCCGUAAACGAUGUCGACUUGGAGGUUGUGCCCUUGAGGCGUGGCUUCCGGAGCUAACGCGUUAAGUCGACCGCCUGGGGAGUACGGCCGCAAGGUUAAAACUCAAAUGAAUUGACGGGGGCCCGCACAAGCGGUGGAGCAUGUGGUUUAAUUCGAUGCAACGCGAAGAACCUUACCUGGUCUUGACAUCCACGGAAGUUUUCAGAGAUGAGAAUGUGCCUUCGGGAACCGUGAGACAGGUGCCGCAUGGCUGUCGUCAGCUCGUGUUGUGAAAUGUUGGGUUAAGUCCCGCAACGAGCGCAACCCUUAUCCUUUGUUGCCAGCGGUCCGGCCGGGAACUCAAAGGAGACUGCCAGUGAUAAACUGGAGGAAGGUGGGGAUGACGUCAAGUCAUCAUGACCCUUACGACCAGGGCCACACACGUGCUACAAUGGCGCAUACAAAGAGAAGCGACCUCGCGAGAGCAAGCGGACCUCAUAAAGUGCGUCGUAGUCCGGAUUGGAGUCUGCAACUCGACUCCAUGAAGUCGGAAUCGCUAGUAAUCGUGGAUCAGAAUGCCACGGUGAAUACGUUCCCGGGCCUUGUACACACCGCCCGUCACACCAUGGGAGUGGGUUGCAAAAGAAGUAGGUAGCUUAACCUUCGGGAGGGCGCUUACCACUUUGUGAUUCAUGACUGGGGUGAAGUCGUAACAAGGUA
rnacentral:rRNA from 1 species